GAUGAAGAACGUAGCGAAAUGCGAUAAGUAGUGUGAAUUGCAGAAUUCAGUGAAUCAUCGAAUCUUUGAACGCACAUUGCGCCCCAUGGUAUUCCGUGGGGCAUGCCUGUUCGAGCGUCAUUUACCCCCUCAAGCUCCGCUUGGUGUUGGGCGUCUGUCCCGCUUCGCGCGCGGACUCGCCCCAAAGGUAUUGGCAGCGGUCGUGCCAGCCUCUCGCGCAGCACAUUGCGCUUCUCGAGGCACCGGUGGGCCCGCGUCCAUCAAGCUCACCCCCCCAGUUUGACCUCGGAUCAGGUAGGGAUACCCGCUGAACUUAAGCAUAUCAAUAAGCGGAGGA
rnacentral:misc_RNA from 1 species